rnacentral:lncRNA from 10 species
CGAUGACGUAAACGCCUGGCCCAAUGGGCGCCAGCGAGGAAGCGUUAAAGAGUCAAGGCAGUUUGUGGGAGUCGCGCUGGGGACGUUCAAGGUGUCUCCUAGCCGAUGGAGUCUCACUGUAGUCCAGAUGGAGUGCAAUGGCGUGAUCUCGGCUCACUGCAAGCUCCGCCUCCCCGGUUCACGCCAUUCUCUUGCCUCAGCCUCCUGAGUAGCUGGGACUACAGGUGCCCGCCACCACACCCGGCUAAUUUUUUUGUAUUUUUAGUAGAGACGGGGUUUCACCGUGUUAGCCAGGAUGGUCUUGAUUUUUCGACUUCAUGAUCCGCCUGCCUCGGCCUCCCAAAGUGCUGGGAUUACAGGCGUGAGCCACCAUGCCCGGCCAAGCACUUCCUUGAACACAGAGGUGACCAUGAGGAGGGAGGCGUGAACCAGGAUGACGGGGCAGCAGAUGGAGCCUGCCUCCCUGAGACCUCAGGUGACCGAGUGCUGGACUGCCUCCUCCUGCCUACAUGGCUGAGAAAUAAACUUCUUUUUCAAACCACUGUGACCUGGGGUUUUCUGAUACCCUCAGCAAGCCUGUUCCUGUGGCCUGGUGUGGGUCCCCUGACCUGUGGCCUGGGCUGCCUGUAUCCGGCCUGCCCCUCUGCUCCGCUGUAAACCUGUGAUGGCAGUGGAGGGGCUUGGCCUGGGCCCGCCCCACCGCGAGGUCUUCCCCUCUCCGAGUUCUGGGUGUGGUUUCAGUUGAGCCACGCCGUUGGACUGGGCCGGCCUGGAGGACAGAAGGCACAGGCUCUUCCACAUACCUGGCUCGUGGCCCAUGGGCCGUCUGCUCACGGGAGCCCUGCACCAGGCCAUGCAGAGCAGUGAAGUCAAAACCUCGUUUCCCAGGUCUAAGGUGAACUGGGAGCAGGGCAGGAGUUGGCUCUGUCAGAUGCCACAGUUGUUUGGGGACAGUGUCCGUAGAGAAUGUGUGGCCCCCCUCCGUGGUCUAGGGUGGAGCGUGGAUAGGCCGGUCACUCCUAUCCCUGGGCCCAAGGCUCUUUUCCCCUGCCCUCCCGUGGGCUGGGAACUGCCACAGCUCAGACAAAAAUCGGCCAGGGCAGGGUCCUGAGGCUUCAGUCCCAGGCUCCUUAGGGCACCCCUGGUGACCCAGCUCCAGCACUGAGUUUCCAGAGGCCUUGAGGAUUUCCCUGGGAUGCCAGAUGGGCCCUUCCUGCUGCUCCUGGGGUCAUCUAAGCUCCAGGCUUGGGUGCAGCCCUGGGCCCCUGCCACAGACGCCCUGAAUGCACCUGCCCCUCCCGGUCCCCACGCAGCAGCCUCCUGAGCUGCGGAUCAUUUUCCUAAGAAGGCAUUCUACUUGUGCCAGUCCUUACUUAAAGACCCCUGCUGGUGCUGGCAGCGUGCUACCGGGAAGGAUGGUAUCUCCUGUGCGUGUCCUGUGUACGCUGGCCUCACACGUGUGUGCCUCAUGCGGGCUGUGCCCUCAGUCCUAUACGCUCUCCCCAACCCUCUUUUAGGGUGUCACAGGAGAAAAAUGACACAUUCCUAAAUCUCUAACACAUGGGCUUGAAAACAAGUCUGAGGAUGCCCUGCAGAAGGGCCAUGGGCAUGGACAUGGAGCUGGGUGGCCUCGUGCACUGACCUUUCCCUCUUCCUAGCCCCAGGCCCGACCUAGAGGCCACAGCCCCUGCGGACAGGCUGUGGGGCCAGAAGGGCCCACUUCAGAACUUUUCUCGUGGGCAGUGUUUAGGGAAUAAAAGAGCUACUGGAGACGAUUUGCAGCUUUCAUAAAUUUCCAGAGACUGAUAAAAACACAGACUUGAAAUUGUCCCAAAUGAGCCAAAGUGAUGAAAACAAGUCUUUUCUAAAACUCUGAAUUCUAAGGGAAUGUAAAAUGCAGAAGUUCAAAUCGGGUUUAGAAAACCAUAAGAAAUAAUAGUGCAUUCGCCGGGCAUGGUGGCUCACGCCUGUGAUCCCAGCACUUUGGGAGGCCAAGGCAGGUGGAUCACUUGAGGUCAGGGGUUUGGCAGCAGCCUGGCCAACAUGAGACCUCGUCUAUACUAAAAAUAAAAUUUAGCCAUGCAUGGUGGCGCAUGCCCUUAGUCCCAGCCACUCCGGAGGCUGGGGUGGGAGGAUUGCAUGAGCCCAGGUGUUUGAGGCUGCAGUGAGCUGUGAUACCACCACUGCACUCCACGCUGGGCAGCAGAGCAAGAUCCUGUCUCCAAAAGACAAAACACAAAACAGUGCAUAAAAAGGGGCCAGGCACGGUGGCUUAUGGCUGUAAUCCCAGUACUUUGGGAGUCUGAGGUGGGUGGAUCACUUCAGGUCAGGAGUUCGAGACCAGGCUGACCAAGAUGGUGAAACCCCGUCUCUACUAAAAACACAAAAAUUAGCUGGGUGUGGUGGCGCGUGCCUGUUGUCCCAGCUACUCGGGAGGCAGAGGCAGGAGAAUGGCUUGAACCCGGGAGGCAGAAGUUGCAGUGAGCCAAGAUUGCGCCACUGCACUCCAGCCUGGGCAACAAAGCAAGACUCCAUAAAUAACUAAAAAGGGAGCUGAUGAGGAGUUAUUUCUGGGAAAUGGCAAAUGCCCACGGGUGACCCUGAUGCCAGCAGCUUCUCUCCCACCAGACCUGUGCUUCCCACACAGCCCCACCUGCUCUUGUCUUUAGACUAAGAGCCUGUCACCGGGCGUUGAUCUAGCCGGCUUUUUCCUUUGUGUUAUGGGCCUGUUCCUUCACCUCAGUGUAUUCUCUGCGUGUGCUCCCUUCUGGGAAAAGCAACGUCCCACGUUUGUGUGAUUGAAAUGUGAAAGGAGAGCCUCAUGUCUAGAUUGUGGGCGAGUGAUUGAGCCCUGUGACCGCUCGCGCGUGUGACCCACAGACUGUGACUGUGUCCCCUCAGCAUUUAUUUUCUGGAUGGUCACAACGUAUUCAAUGUGUCCUUGAGACAGCCACCCAGCCCUUAGGGUGGUCCCUGCGUG